AUGGGUAAAAGAGAACGUUUUCUUCCAGUCCCUUGUCAUUCUCUCGCCCGGUGUAUUUUAACAACUGGACGGAGAACUGAUAAGGGCUUGUGGGAAACCGAACAUCUUCGUAGCUGC
rnacentral:pre_miRNA from 15 species